CAGUCGCCGCGGUAAUACAGAGGGUGCGAGCGUUAAUCGGAUUUACUGGGCGUAAAGCGUGCGUAGGCGGCUUUUUAAGUCGGAUGUGAAAUCCCUGAGCUUAACUUAGGAAUUGCAUUCGAUACUGGGAAGCUAGAGUAUGGGAGAGGAUGGUAGAAUUCCAGGUGUAGCGGUGAAAUGCGUAGAGAUCUGGAGGAAUACCGAUGGCGAAGGCAGCCAUCUGGCCUAAUACUGACGCUGAGGUACGAAAGCGUGGGGAGCAAACAGGAUUAGAUACCCCGGUAGUCCCUGUCUCUUAUAC
rnacentral:rRNA from 1 species